UUCUCUUCUUUCCUUUCUCUUUCUCGGUAUGUUCUCUCCUCUCUAACUCCGCCUUAACCAAAACCCUCUUAUAACAAAUUCUUGUUCAUAACCCUAAAAAUCCUUGAAUCCUUGUUAAUCUUUGAAUAAAAAACCAAUCUAAAAUCAAAGAAAAACCUCUAAUUGAAACAUUCAUAACCCUAAAAUUUUGAUAUUGUCCCUGAAAUAAAAAAAAAAAACCUUUUUCUGUGAUAAUAAUUGUUCUUCGAUCUGUUAGCCAACGAUUGAGGCAAAAGAAGAACUAAUGAACAAGAAGAAGACUAUUGGAGCUUCAAAAAUGAUGAAUAGAAGUGCAAACCCUAUCGGUGACGUUUGGCAAGACGAUUGAUGAAAUGCAUACAGCUGGAAGACCAAACUAGUGCUGAUAAGAGAAAGCUUCAUGUAAACCUAGUGCUUUCAAAAGGAAAUCUGAAUCAAAAAAUCUGGUUGCCCACAACAAAAAACAAAAUUAUAGAUGGAACAUAUCUACAACUGCAUGUCUGCAUUAGAAAAGUUGGUUCUUCUAUCAAAUUUAUUUAGAUUUUUCCAGAAACCGAGCUAAACAAAGACUUCUACAACCAAAACAUCUAAAGAGAAGUGAGUAUUUCUUCGUUCUGUACGCAUUUUAUAGGUACUACUCAAAGGUAACUGAUAGAAGAUGGUGAAACAUUGAAGUGGAAAGUUUUGGAGCAAGUUGAUGAAAAGCUGAUGAAAAGAGAUAUAAAAGCAGCAUUGAGUCUUGUGGAGUUGGCGGGAAACCUGGUGGUCUUUGUUGCUUUGGCACAGCAAGGCAGGUAACUUUUUUAAUCCGUUCUUUUUUUCCCAUCGGUUGGUGCAUUCUAUCAAUUGUUAGAACCAUAGAUCAUAGUUCUUGAGUUGGUUCCUUAUUAGCACUUCUAUAGUAUGAAUGGUGGAGGAUGGAUCAAUUUUGUUGUUGCUGUUCUUAUGUAGUUGCAUGCUUCUGAUGUCAUUUAUAACCAUGAUGCAUCCUCUAGUGUGUUAUUAUACAUGUUUUGCCGAGGGAAGACAGAAUAGGUGACUGGAGGAAUCCUAAAAUAGAUCCUUCUGCAUGAGUUGUGUAAAACAUAUAUAGAAGGGAUCUACGUCGUGGUUCCUGUUGAUGAAAACUAGGUAGGUCGGUGUCAGGUUUCACAUGUUGAUAAAAAAUCUAGUUCCUUUAAUUGCGGUCUUUGUUGAUGAUGGAUUGUUUCCAUUGAAUUCUGAUUGCCAAUGCACACUUGUUUGAUUUCUACCAUUGGAGAGUAAGUUGUAGCAUUUGGAAAUGGUUGUUUUGUUUGUGUUUAAUUGCAUUGCGGAUCUAGACCUUGGAUGAGCUUAAGCUGAAUGAGAUUGAUCCUUCAGCAAUUCUUUCACAUGUUUGAUGGGACUGUGAGUUCAUUUGAAAGGUAACUUCAACUUGCUGCUAUUUUAGGAUAUAAUUCACAAAAUUACAUAGAUUCUUCAUCGUUCUUUCACUAAUGGGAUCAAAGAUCCCACUAUUAGAAUACAAUUCACAAAACUCACCAUGUGAUAUGCAUCUUGCAAAUUUUUAUAGAUAAUUUGUUUUGUCAAUCAAAUUCGAAUUUGUAAAUUUGCUGUCGUACUUCGCAGGUUGAUUCUGGAAAGUUUGGUCCAGUUUCCUUUGGUGUUUUUGCAUUGCUGGUUACUGCUGAAGCUGGGGAAAUAGUUAUGAUCAGGGUCAACUCUUAGUAAAAGUAGGCUAUUUGUUGUAUUUUCCCAGGUGAUCAGCUUUCUAAUUUGAAAGAUUGCUGAUACUUUUGGGCUCAAAAUACUUGAUAUGAACACGGAUUUGUAGUUUCACCAACAAUUUUUUUUAUAAAUUUGCACUUAAGAAUUUGAA